AUUGAACGCUGGCGGAAUGCUUUACACAUGCAAGUCGAGCGGCAGCGCGGGGGCAACCCUGGCGGCGAGCGGCGAACGGGUGAGUAAUACAUCGGAACGUGUCCUUAAGUGGGGGAUAGCUCGGCGAAAGCCGGAUUAAUACCGCAUAAGCUCUGAGGAGGAAAGCGGGGGCUCCGUAAGGACCUCGCGCUGUUGGAGCGGCCGAUGUCGGAUUAGCUAGUUGGUGGGGUAAUGGCUCACCAAGGCUUCGAUCUGUAGCUGGUCUGAGAGGACGGCCAGCCACACUGGCACUGACACACGGGCCAGACUCCUACGGGAGGCAGCAGUGGGGAAUUUUGGGCAAUGGGCGCAAGCCUGACCCAGCAACGCCGCGUGAGGGAGGAAAUCCUUCGGGAUGUAAACCUCACAAGCAAGGGAAGAGAGCUCCGGACCGAAUAAGUUCGGAGUCCGACGGUACCUUGCGUAAGCCACGGCUAACUACGUGCCAGCA
rnacentral:rRNA from 1 species